rnacentral:sRNA from 1 species
UAAGGCGCCUCCAUACUAUUUUCCAUAGUGGCUGUACUAGUUUAUAUUUCCACCAACGUUGUUUGAGAGUCCCCCUUUCUCCACAGCCUCACCAGGAUCCGCUAUUCCCUGUCUUUUUUAUAAAAGCCAUUCUAACUGGGAUCAUUCUUUUGGUGUCAUAUUUAAGAACUAUUUGCCCAACCCAAGACUAAGAGAGAUGGAGUCUUUCCUCUUGGAUGACAUCAGCUCUGUGAUACAGAACAAAGGCAUUGAGAGAAUCAUCUCACCAAUGAUCGUUCAGCUUUGCCAUCUGCUUAUCUCAAUGGAGAGGAAAGAAGUGGAGAAUGAAGUAUUUGCCUCAUUGGAGAAGACGGCUGAGGAACUGGCGAAAGCUUGUGAAGACUUCGUGCGAGUUGCCAAAAGGUGUUGGAGCAAACUGCCUAUGUUUGAAUCUUAGCAACACCAUCAAUUUAAUGCAAUCCUAUAAAAAUUCCACAAGCUUUCUUUUUCAAAUGGAGCUUGAAAAGUUGAUACCAAACUCCAUAUGAAAAAAAUUAAACGUAAGAACAACUAGGAGAACCCUGGAAUAAAAAGCUGUGGAGAGAGAAUAGCUUGUCAGGGAUUAAAAAUACAUUCUAGAUCUUCUUUUAGGAAAGUGUGUGAUACCGUCAUAUGAAGAGACAGAUUGACCACUGGAACAGAAUAAAAAGCCCAGAAACACACAACUACACAUGGAUCUGUACACCACAAAGAGUGGACUUUAGUGCAUGCAAAUUUGAAAAAUGAACCAGGCUGGCCGGGCGGGUGGCUCACGCCUGUAAACCCAGCAUUUUGGGAGGCCGAGGCAGGUGGAUCGCCUGAGGUCGGGAGUUCAAGACCAUCCUGGCCAGCAUGGUGAAAGCCUGUCUCUACUAAAAAUACAAAAAUUAGCCGGGCGUGGUGGCGGGCGCCUGUAGUC